GACGAACGCUGGCGGCGUGCCUAAUACAUGCAAGUAGAACGCUGAAGGAGGAGCUUGCUUCUCUGGAUGAGUUGCGAACGGGUGAGUAACGCGUAGGUAACCUGCCUGGUAGCGGGGGAUAACUAUUGGAAACGAUAGCUAAUACCGCAUAAUAGUAGAUGUCGCAUGACAUUUGCUUAAAAGGUGCAAUUGCAUCACUACCAGAUGGACCUGCGUUGUAUUAGCUAGUUGGUGAGGUAACGGCUCACCAAGGCAACGAUACAUAGCCGACCUGAGAGGGUGAUCGGCCACACUGGGACUGAGACACGGCCCAGACUCCUACGGGAGGCAGCAGCAGGGAAUCUUCGGCAAUGGACGGAAGUCUGACCGAGCAACGCCGCGUGAGUGAAGAAGGUUUUCGGAUCGUAAAGCUCUGUUGUAAGAGAAGAACGAGUGUGAGAGUGGAAAGUUCACACUGUGACGGUAUCUUACCAGAAAGGGACGGCUAACUACGUG
rnacentral:rRNA from 1 species